rnacentral:rRNA from 1 species
AGAGAUCAUGGCUCAGAAUCAACGCUGGCGGCGUGCCUCAGACAUGCAAGUCGAACGAUUAAGACUUCCUUCGGGAAGUGUAUAAAGUGGCGCACGGGUGAGUAACACGUAAGUAAUCUACCUUCGAGUGGGGAAUAACCCGGGGAAACCCGAGCUAAUACCGCAUAACGCAGCGGCAUCGCAAGAUGACAGUUGUUAAAGGAAUUUAUUUCGCUUGAAGAGGAGCUUGCGGCAGAUUAGCUAGUUGGUAAGGUAACGGCUUACCAAGGCUACGAUCUGUAUCCGGCCUAAGAGGACGGUCGGACACACUGACACUGAAUAACGGGUCAGACUCCUACGGGAGGCAGCAGUCGGGAAUUUUGGGCAAUGGGCGAAAGCCUGACCCAGCAACGCCGCGUGAAGGAUGAAGUAUUUCGGUAUGUAAACUUCGAAAGAAUAGGAAGAAUAAAUGACGGUACUAUUUAUAAGCUCCGGCUAACUACGUGCCAGCAGCCGCGGUAAUACGUAGGGAGCAAGCGUUGUUCGGAUUUACUGGGCGUAAAGGGCGCGUAGGCGGCGCGGUAAGUCACUUGUGAAAUCUCUGAGCUUAACUCAGAACGGCCAAGUGAUACUGCAGUGCUAGAGUGCAGAAGGGGCAAUCGGAAUUCUUGGUGUAGCGGUGAAAUGCGUAGAUAUCAAGAGGAACACCUGAGGUGAAGACGGGUUGCUGGGCUGACACUGACGCUGAGGCGCGAAAGCCAGGGGAGCAAACGGGAUUAGAUACCCCGGUAGUCCUGGCCCUAAACGAUGAAUACUUGGUGUCUGGAGUUUCAAUACUCCGGGUGCCGUCGCUAACGUUUUUAGUAUUCCGCCUGGGGAGUACGCUCGCAAGAGUGAAACUCAAAGGAAUUGAC